GGUGGCUCAUUGGUAGAGCACUUGCCUUGCAUGCAUGAGGUCCUGAGUUCGAUUCCUUAGCACCA
rfam:Dipodomys ordii contig_97053, whole genome shotgun sequence.